UACAGAGGUGGCAAGCGUUGUUCGGAAUUACUGGGCGUAAAGGGCGCGUAGGCGGCCUUCUAAGUCAGACGUGAAAUCCCCCGGCUUAACCUGGGAACUGCCUUUGAUACUGGCGAGCUUGAGUUCGGGAGAGGUGAGUGGAACUGCGAGUGUAGAGGUGAAAUUCGUAGAUAUUCGCAAGAACACCAGUGGCGAAGGCGGCUCACUGGCCCGAUACUGACGCUGAGGCGCGAAAGCGUGGGGAGCAAACAGG
rnacentral:rRNA from 1 species